CAGUCGCCGCGGGAAUACGUAGGUGGCAAGCGUUGUCCGGAAUUAUUGGGCGUAAAGCGCGCGCAGGUGGUUUAAUAAGUCUGAUGUGAAAGCCCACGGCUCAACCGUGGAGGGUCAUUGGAAACUGUUAAACUUGAGUGCAGGAGAGAAAAGUGGAAUUCCUAGUGUAGCGAUGAAAUGCGUAGAGAUUAGGAGGAACACCAGUGGCGAAGGCGGCUUUUUGGCCUGUAACUGACACUGAGGCGCGAAAGCGUGGGGAGCAAACAGGAUUAGAUACCCCUGUAGUCCCUGUCUCUUAUAC
rnacentral:rRNA from 1 species